GUUUUUUUGUGAAUCACAGUCGAUUGUAUCUUUUGGGACGUGCCAAAAGUAGUUAGCCAAUAAAUUGUCAGAAUGCUUCAUGUGCCGUCGGCGGUUGGCCGCUUAAUUGUUUGCCAUAAGCGGAUUGGAAAACUCGUAAAACGUCGUCUAAAAGUGGGCAGUAAAUUAUCAUAUAUGUAUUAUGUCCGGCAUCAUUAUCAUCAUUGUUAUUACAUAAUGUGUCCAACGAGGUGGAAAGUGUUUUGGUUUUUUGUAUACCAAAACUUUUUAUGGAAUAUGUACAUAUUUGGCGCAAAAGUGUCGAACAAACAGGCCGAGAAACCUGCUGACAGGUUCAAGUGUUGGCUGCUGGAAUCGAAGAAACAUGAAACAAUGGCCCAGGGAACAUCUUAAGACCCUCGAGUUGGCAGGCGCCAACUUCACAAUGCAAAUUGCCCGAUAAUUGUUUGCUCAGCAGGCAGCCUCAAUUGGCCAAACGAUGUAAUAAAAUGGGGUUGUU